rnacentral:sRNA from 2 species
CAUCGAAAUUAGCCGAAUUCCGCUAUGCGGAAACGGGGGACCCACGUUUUUCGGGGUGAAUGGCAGCCGCUUGCCGGCCGCCUAGGGCAAUCCUUUCGACCGAACCCAUCAGCUAACCUCGUAGGCUCAGGAAAGGAGCAGU